AAAAAUAGGAAUUGGCACUUUCAUGAUGUGGAAUGACCCUUUCGAAGUCCAUAUGCCAGCUAUCAUGUAGGUUUAAGCCAUACCUUUUACAUCAUCAUUCUGUUCCUGAUUAAUUAAGGUUAAAAAAAACUGGUUGCCGUUAAUUUUUGUGCAUAAUGGAUAGUUGUCUUUCAUGCAUAUAACCGUGGUUGUUUUGCUUAGGAUCUUGAAAAGCCAGAAGUUAGGUCAUGAGCAUCCUUUUAACUUUUAAAGUCUCUAGCAUGGUAAAUGUGGUAUGGAAUUUCAAAAGUCAGUUAUGCCUGCUAUGAUGGAAUACAGAGUACAGGUCAAAAUAUACAGAAAGUCACACUAGGAAUGAUACUUUUUAUUUGACAAUAUGGUAUCUAGAGGAAGGGUGCCAAUGUGACAAGUUUUUUUUUCUCUCUUUCACGUAAAGGCAAGAUCCAGUGAAUAAAUGUUCGGUUUAUUGUUAUGAUAUCCAGUAGCUUUCUUUGGGUUAACAUGAUAUGCAGUACUUUCCCCUUUGUUAUUUAUAAAGUUAUAUGGACUUCUUUCUUUUUUUGCUUUUCCUUUUAAUGAGAGGCCCAGCUAAGUGAGAAGAGGUAAGAGGUCAAAAACUCUUUUGUGGUUGGUGCUCAUUUGAUCUUCUAGUUGACAGGGGAUCUUCCAAUUGGGUUAAAAAGGGAAUACAACCUAGUCAUCAAGCUCGUUAAGAAUUGUCCUAUUAUGUAACAUAUGUGGUGAUAUGGUGGUUGCUUUUGUUUAUAUCACGACUAGAAGCAAUGUGGUGGAUAAAAUUACAUACAUGACUGAGUUAAUGAAUUAUUUGGAAGU
rnacentral:lncRNA from 1 species